rnacentral:rRNA from 1 species
CCUACGGGAGGCAGCAGUAGGGAAUCUUCCACAAUGGGCGCAAGCCUGAUGGAGCAACGCCGCGUGGGUGAAGAAGGUCUUCGGAUCGUAAAACCCUGUUGUUAGAGAACAAAGUGCGUGAGAGUAACUGUUCACGUUUCUACGUUAUCUAACCAGAUAGCCACGGCUAACUACGUGCCAGCAGCCGCUGGAAUACGUCGGUGGCAAGCGUUAUCCGGAUUUAUUGAGCGUAAAGGGAACGCAGGCGGUCUUUUAAGUCUGAUGUGAAAGUCUUCGGCUUAACCGGAGUAGUGCAUUGGAAACUGGGAGACUUGAGUGCAGAAGAGGAGAGUGGAACUCCAUGUGUAGCGGUGAAAUGCGUAGAUAUAUGGAAGAACACCAGUGGCGAAAGCGGCUCUCUGGUCUGUAACUGACGCUGAGGUUCGAAAGCGUGGGUAGCAAACAGGAUUAGAUACCCCAGUAGUC